CCAAGAAAGGAAGAAAGAAAAAUUUAUCAAAAAGAAAACACAAGAAGUAUUCUGAAGAUAGCGACAGUGACUCUGAUUCUGAAACAGACUCCAGUGGGCCUCCCUCUGUCACCCAGGCUGAAGGGCCGUGGCUCGAUCUCUGCUCACUGCAACCUCCACCUCCAGGGUUCCAGUGAUUCUCCUGCCUCAGCCUUCCGAGUAGCUGUGACCACAGGCACGUGCAACCAUGCCCAGCUAUUAAAAAAAAAAAAUUGUAGAGAUGAGGUCAUGCUGUGUUGCCCAGGCUAGAACUGCUUUCUGUCUCCUCAGUAUUCCAUGUUCUUUCUCUUGACUCUAUUGCUUGGUAGAGAGGCCCUCUGCCUACAAUACCAGUCUCUUCUUCCAACAAGCUUGGCUUACUCAUUGCAACAAUGGAUUUUGUAAUCAAAUAACUACUCUAAGAGCCACCUUUCUUGGUCAACCAUUCCUCAACCCCCCUCCUCAAAUCAGUUCUGAUUUUGAGACUCCUCUGUGUGUCCAGAGCACCUCAAGCUUCCUUAUGUCACUCUGGAUUGUAUCAAUCUCUUUACCUAUUUGUCUCCUCCAUUAGACUGAGCUCCUAGAAAGCAUUCUCCUUCCCCACACAUAGUUUUCUUUCCCUUUUUAUCAUGGAAAUCUUCAAAUGUUCAGAAAAGUAAAGGGAAUAGUAUAAUUAAUACUAUAUACCUUAGUACUCAGGUUUAACAUUUGUUAGCAUUUUGACAUGUUUGCUUCAAAUAUGGAUUUUUCACUAAGGUAUUCAAAGUAAAUUACAAAUGUCAUCACAUUUCGCUACAAAAUAUUUCUGUGUAUCUCUUUAAAAUGAUAUUUUCCUACUUAACCAUAAUACCAUUAACUUAUGAAAAAAUUAACAUUAAUUUCUUAUAUCAUAUAAUACCUAAUGUGACUUUAAUAAUAUAUAUAUCCCCAGUGCCUAGCACAGUUCUUGACAAAUAGUAAUAAAUGUUUGAAUGAAUAAAUUUCUCUGUAACAACAAAUGAGAAACAGCAAAAGCAUAUUUAUUUACUCAAAAGUAUUGAGGUUUUAGAGGUAACUUUUUAAAAAUUAUAAUGUGUUUUAAUUUGCAGACGAAGACACAAAAAUGAGAGCAAAGACAGCUAAGAAAAAGGAAAAGAAACGCAGAUGGCCAGAUUUUUUCCUUUAAUUUUUAUUAUGGAAAAGGUCAAAUGUGUAUAAACAUACAUAGAAUGGUAUAAUGAUCCCUCAGGCACGUAGCACCCAGCUUGAACAAUUAACAACUUGUGGGAAAUUGCCAUUGCCCCCUAAUUAAUUUGAAACCAAUCCCAGGUAUAAUGUCAUUUAUAAACAAUUCAGCAUGUUUCUCUAAAAGACUGUUUUCUUUAUUAGUCUGUUUUCACACGCCAUAAAGACAUACUUGAGACUGAGUAAUUUAUAAAGAAAAGAGGUAUAAUUGAUUCAUAGUUCUGUAUGGCUUGGGAGGCCUCAGGAAAUUUACAAUCAUGGCGGAAGCCAAAGGGGAAGCAAGGCACAUCUGACAUGGGAGCAGAAGAGAGAGUGAGAAGGGGGAAGCACCAGACACUUUGCAGACAACCAGUUCUCAUGAAAACUCACUCAGUAUCAUGACAACAGCAUGGGGGAAACCCAUCCAUCCAAUUACCUCCCACCACACCCCUCCCUCCACAUGUGGGGAUUAUAAUACAAGAUGAGAUUUGGGUGGGGACAGAGCCAAACCAUAUCAGAUACACGUUCUUUUUCUAAAAACAUAACUACAAUACCAUUAUCAUGCCUAAAAAAAUUAACAAUAACUCCUCAACUCUCAUCACACUCCAUUUUUAAAUUUUUGUUGUUUUCUAGCCUAGCAGUUUCACAUGAGGAAGACAGCAUAAAGAAAGCCAAGGUCUGACUGCUUCUUUUUGAUGAUCAAUUAAUCUAGAAUAUUAAUCAGGGAACUACCUCCUCCCUCUUGCUUCUAGCAGCACUAACCAAAAGGUUCCCUUUUUGUGUUUUUAUCAUCAGGAACCAGGGUCCUUUCAAGGAGGUUGAAUGAGACAAAAUACAUUUGAAUGCAUGAUUGUCAGCUUCUGAGCUGGGGAAUAUGCAACAAUAUGCCUUCUGGGCUGGGGAUGGGAGAGCAAAGGGAGAACUGCCUCAUUCUGGCUUUGGUAGAGUCUCCUCUUGUGUUUCAUUUGAUGCAGAGGAACUUUGGGCCAGAAUGAUUCCUAUUUCCCUAUGUCCUCCACAGAAAGGGAGGACAGUGAACAGAAUUUGGAAUAUACUAGAUAGAUGUUUGGCUGCCACCUUCCCAUAAAGCCCUAUGAGUAGCUUCUUCGGAAGAUUCCUUUAGACUACAGGGUUGUGUCUAAGCUCUUCAGCAUAAAUGGAGAUGGGCCCUGUCUUGAAACACACUGUUCUUUUACUAGGGACUUUCCCCACCCCCAUUUUGCAUAUGUAUGUAUGUGAGCCGUACAGGGCCUAUUGGUGAUUGAGGAAUGUCAGCUCAUAAAAUGAGGCUUCCUUGUAAUUCUGUUUAAAUGACUUUUCCUUUGAAAUUCUUAUCAAUACCUUAUUUGGCACACAAAACAGAUAUACAGUUGACCCUUGAACAACACAGGUUAGAGCUGCGUAUGUCCACUUAUAUGUGGAUUUUUUUUCAAUAAAUAGAAUUGGCCCCCCAUCCACAGGUUUCACACCUGCAACCAAAUGCAGAUCAAAAAUAUAGUAUUCGUGGGAUGCAAAACCUGCAGAUAGGUAAGGCCAACUUUUUGUGUACUUGGAUUCUGCAGGGUCAAGUGUGGGGCUUGAGUAUGCAUGGAUUUUGGUAUCUGCAGGGGUCCUGGGAACCAAUGUUUACAAGGAAUUCACAACUUUUUUUAAAUAAAAAAUGUGCCUUAUAAAAAA